UUACCUACUCUUGACAUCCAGAGAACUUUCCAGAGAUGGAUUGGUGCCUUCGGGAACUCUGAGACAGGUGCUGCAUGGCUGUCGUCAGCUCGUGUUGUGAAAUGUUGGGUUAAGUCCCGCAACGAGCGCAACCCUUAUCCUUUGUUGCCAGCGGUCCGGCCGGGAACUCAAAGGAGACUGCCAGUGAUAAACUGGAGGAAGGUGGGGAUGACGUCAAGUCAUCAUGGCCCUUACGAGUAGGGCUACACACGUGCUACAAUGGCGCAUACAAAGAGAAGCGACCUCGCGAGAGCAAGCGGACCUCAUAAAUUGCGUCGUAGUCCGGAUUGGAGUCUGCAACUCGACUCCAUGAAGUCGGAAUCGCUAGUAAUCGUAGAUCAGA
rnacentral:rRNA from 1 species